AUAUAUGGUCAAGAAAUCUUCAACAAGCCUGAUCCCAUCUGAUCUCAGAAGCUAAGCAGGGUCAGGCCUGGUUAGUACUUGGAUGGGAGACCUAGGAAGACCAAGUACUGUAUGCA
ensembl:rRNA 5S_rRNA 5S ribosomal RNA